rnacentral:rRNA from 1 species
UACAGAGGGUGCAAGCGUUAAUCGGAAUUACUGGGCGUAAAGCGUGCGUAGACGGUUAUGUAAGUCAGGUGUGAAAGCCCCGGGCUCAACCUGGGAAUGGCAUUUGAGACUGCAUAGCUAGGGUGCGGAAGAGGGAAGCGGAAUUUCCGGUGUAGCGGUGAAAUGCGUAGAUAUCGUAAGGAAGACCAGUGGCGAAGGCGGGUCUCUGGACAGUUCCUGACGCUGAGGCACGAAGGCCAGGGGAGCAAACGGG